UACGAGGGGGGCAAGUGUUGUUCGGAAUCACUGGGCGUAAAGGGAGCGUAGGCGGAUGUUUAAGUUGGAUGUUUAAAACCGGGGCCUAACCUCGGAGCGGCAUCCAAAACUGGGCAUCUUGAAUAGGUCAGAGGCUGGUGGAAUUGGAGGUGUAGCGGUGGAAUGCGUAGAGAUCUCCAAGAACACCUAUUGCGAAGGCAGCCAGCUGGGACCAUAUUGACGCUGAGGAGCGAAAGCGUGGGGAGCGAACAGG
rnacentral:rRNA from 1 species